AUUGAACGCUGGCGGCAUGCUUUACACAUGCAAGUCGAACGGCAGCACGGGGGCAGCCCUGGUUGCGAGUGGCGAACGGGUGAGUAAUACAUCGGAACGUGCCCGGUCGUGGGGGAUAACGUAGCGAAAGUUACGCUAAUACCGCAUACGAUCUGAGGAUGAAAGCGGGGGACCUUCGGGCCUCGCGCGAUCGGAGCGGCCGAUGUCAGAUUAGGUAGUUGGUGGGGUAAAGGCCUACCAAGCCGACGAUCUGUAGCUGGUCUGAGAGGACGACCAGCCACACUGGGACUGAGACACGGCCCAGACUCCUACGGGAGGCAGCAGUGGGGAAUUUUGGACAAUGGGCGCAAGCCUGAUCCAGCCAUUCCGCGUGCAGGACGAAGGCCUUCGGGUUGUAAACUGCUUUUGUACGGAACGAAAAGGCUCUGGCUAAUACCUGGGGCUCAUGACGGUACCGUAAGAAUAAGCACCGGCUAACUACGUG
rnacentral:rRNA from 1 species